rnacentral:rRNA from 1 species
GGAGGAAAAGAAACCAACAGGGAUUGCCUCAGUAACGGCGAGUGAAGCGGCAACAGCUCAAAUUUUAAAGCUGACGUCUUUGGCGUCCGCGUUGUAAUUUGGAGAGGCAUCUUCGGUUUGGGCGCCAGCCUAUGUUCCUUGGAACAGGACGUCACAGAGGGUGAGAAUCCCGUGCCUGGCUGGCUGUCCCUUUCCAUGUGAAGUGCCUUCGACGAGUCGAGUUGUUUGGGAAUGCAGCUCAAAAUGGGUGGUAAAUUUCAUCUAAAGCUAAAUAUUGGCGGGAGACCGAUAGCGCACAAGUAGAGUGAUCGAAAGAUGAAAAGCACUUUGAAAAUAGAGUUAAAAAGUACGUGAAAUUGUUGAAAGGGAAGCGCUUGAGACCAGACUCGGCCGGGGAUGAUCAGCCGUCCUUCUGGGCGGUGCACUCGUUUCCGGCCGGGCCAGCAUCGGUUGAGACGGCGGGAUAAAGGCCCGGGGAAUGUGGCUCCUUUCGGGGAGUGUUAUAGCCCCGGGCGCAAUGCCGCCAGCCUCGACCGAGGACCGCGCUUCAUUGCUAGGAUGCUGGCGUAAUGGUCUUCAGCGACCCGUCUUGAAACACGGACCAAGGAGUCUAACAUCUAUGCGAGUGUUUGGGUGUCAAACCCUUGCGCGUAAUGAAAGUGAACGGAGGUGGGAACCCCUCGCGGGGCGCACCAUCGACCGGUCCUGAUGUCUUCGGAUGGAUCUGAGUAGGAGCAUAGCUGUUGGGACCCGAAAGAUGGUGAACUAUGCCUGAAUAGGGUGAAGCCAGAGGAAACUCUGGUGGAGGCUCGCAGCGGUUCUGACGUGCAAAUCGAUCGUCAAAUUUGGGUAUAGGGGCG